UACGUAGGGGGCUAGCGUUGUCCGGAUUUAUUGGGCGUCAAGAGCUCGUAGGUGGUUCGGUAAGUCGGAUGUGAAAUCUCCAGGCUCAACCUGGAGGGGUCAUUCGAUACUGCCGUGACUAGAGUUCGGUAGGGGAGUGUGGAAUUCCUGGUGGAGCGGUGAAAUGCGCAGAUAUCGGGAGGAACACCUGUGGCGAAAGCGGCUCACUGGACAGUAACUGACGCUGAUGCGCGAAAGCUAGGGGAGCAAACAGG
rnacentral:rRNA from 1 species